rnacentral:rRNA from 1 species
CCUACGGGGCGCAGCAGUGGGGAAUAUUGGACAAUGGGCGAAAGCCUGAUCCAGCCAUGCCGCGUGUGUGAAGAAGGCCUUCGGGUUGUAAAGCACUUUCAGUGGGGAAGAAAGCCUUGGGGCUAAUACCCUCGAGGAAGGACAUCACCCACAGAAGAAGCACCGGCUAACUCCGUGCCAGCAGCCGCGGUAAUACGGAGGGUGCGAGCGUUAAUCGGAAUUACUGGGCGUAAAGCGCGCGUAGGCGGUCUGAUAAGCCGGUUGUGAAAGCCCCGGGCUCAACCUGGGAACGGCAUCCGGAACUGUCAGGCUAGAGUGAAGGAGAGGAAGGUAGAAUUCCCGGUGUAGCGGUGAAAUGCGUAGAGAUCGGGAGGAAUACCAGUGGCGAAGGCGGCCUUCUGGACUGACACUGACGCUGAGGUGCGAAAGCGUGGGUAGCAAACAGGAUUAGAUACCCGUGUAGUC